rnacentral:rRNA from 1 species
AUUGAACGCUGGCGGCAGGCCUAACACAUGCAAGUCGAACGAGUGGCGGACGUGUGAGUCAUGUCUGGGAAACUGCUUGAUGGAGGGGGAUAACUCCUGGAACCGGUAGCUAAUACCGCAUACCUUCAGUUUUGCCCAGAUGGGCUUAGCUAGUGGGUGGGGUAACGGCUCACCCAGGCGACGGUCCCGAGCUGGUCUGAGAGGAUGACCAGCCACACUGGAACUGAGACACGGUCCAGACUCCUACGGGAGGCAGCAGUGGGGAAUAUUGCACAAUGGGCGCAAGCCUGAUGCAGCCAUGCCGCGUGUAUGAAUAAGGCCUUCGGGUUGUAAAGUACGUUCAGCGGGGAGGCGUUACCCGAAGAAGAAGCACCGGCUAACUCCGUGCCAGCAGCCGCGGUAAUUC